CCUACGGGUGGCAGCAGUGGGGAAUUUUCCGCAAUGGGCGAAAGCCUGACGGAGCAAUACCGCGUGAGGGAGGAAGGCUUUUGGGUCGUAAACCUCUUUUAUUGGGGAAGAAGUUCUGACGGUACCCAAUGAAUCAGCAUCGGCUAACUCCGUGCCAGCAGCCGCGGUAAUACGGAGGAUGCAAGCGUUAUCCGGAAUUAUUGGGCGUAAAGCGUCCGUAGGUGGCGGUUCAAGUCUGCCGUUAAAACCAGUAGCUUAACUCCAUACAGGCAGUGGAAACUGAAUAACUAGAGUACGGUAGGGGUAGCGGGAAUUCCCAGUGUAGCGGUGAAAUGCGUAGAUAUUGGGAAGAACACCAGCGGCGAAAGCGCGCUACUGGGCCUGUACUGACACUGAGGGACGAAAGCUAGGGGAGCGAAAGGGAUUAGAUACCCGGGUAGUC
rnacentral:rRNA from 1 species